UCGUACAUAAGCGAACAGCUGUUAUGUUGUUGCUAAGCCGGAAACAAAGCAUGUGAAUGUUUUUUUUUUUUUUUUUGGCACAGCGUCGUUGGGAAAGUGCACUUCCUUGUUCUGACCUUGCCUUUUAUGGGCUGGAGCGAUAUGAAUCGUAAAUAUGCCACGGCGAAGUUGUCGAAGAUGCGAGAGUGCUACGCUGUUAGAACAAUUCAUCGGUGCAUUCAAGUGUUACCUAUUAUAAGCUGCCAAAAGACCAAGCAGUGCGAAGCUCUUGGCUGACAGUGGUGCCUGCUUAUUUCCACUGCAAGGGUUUCGUCCACGAAUGUUAUCAUAGGUUACGCGCGACUCCAGAGGCAAUUUGGAAUCUCGGCACGAAAUCGUCUGAUGAAAAUCUGAGGUACCCGACGCAUAACAUUUUGAACGUGCCACGGAGGAUCAAGGCAAAAAACGAGAGCAAAAAAUGGUGCACGCUGAAGGCGGAAAUGAAGCAUGAUCUGGCUUGCAUCUGGUCAUGAAGAAAUUGCUGACACGUUAGUUGCAGUCCACCUCCACCAACAGGGUGGAAAACAAAGAUCGCCAUUACGAUUAGCUGCUAUCUCCCAGUUCAAGCACUUUUGUGUCUGGACACUGGUUCCUGUGGAUGGGGUGUUACAAGCUUCACUGUCUGAUAUAGAAGUGAUGAGCAUCCAUAAGGACACAUGCCAGAAAGGGAGUCUCUUUGGGAUGACAAACCCUCAUCACCUCAUGAGGAUACAAUGGUUGACGAAUGGUUCUCAAGCACAUCGAAACUUCCAACAAAUAAUUCAUGAAAAAGCCAGUCAGUGCUAGCACCAGGAAUUGAACGUGGGCCAUCCUGCUACCAGUCAGAGAUGUUCAGUGGUGUAGCCACGAGGGGGCUAGGGGGUCUCGAGCCCCCCCUACCUGCCACGGACCGACCCACACAAAUCGUGCAAAUCCGAGAACAUAAUAUAUGGGGGGGGGGGGACCAGUGUGACUAUCGCGAAAGUUAUUGCAGUUCAUGGCGUCUAUCUAAGAAGCAUUCUUGAAUGGUUUUCAAAGUAUGAGCUUUUCAAAAUACUUCCAAUCUCGUGACACCACUUCAUUGGUCAUGACAGCCUAUACAUGUAAUCGUACUGUGAACAUCUAAAUCAACUAUUUUCGUUCACUUUUUUAAUCCUCAGUUUGAAGUGUGCACAAGUAUGUGUGUGUUGUCGACACAGGAUCAGCGGGGGGGAGUAUUCGUAUCGAGCCCCCCCCACCUUUGAGGUCGGGCUACGCCACUGGAGAUGUUACAUUUCAGGCGCUCAUUGACUUUUGGUGAAUUACUUGUUGACUUUGUCCCAAGGUGGAGCUCGCUACAGCUCAUUUGCUAUCUGUUAAUGUUGUGGCGUGUGUUGCGUUUUUUUCUUUGUGUGUUCCAGACUCAGAACGAUUAAUUUGGAUCAGGUCAGGUACGUUUCAUUUAGACAUGGCAAACAUAAAGUGGUGUUUCUCAACACAACUUAGCAGUGGUCUUCAUGCAUUACUGAUACAGGCCAUUAAGCGUGAAUAGAAACCUAGCCAGAGCAGCUGAUACACAGAGAGAACGUAGCCCGUGUGUGUUUGUCUUUUCCACCGCAGCCCUUGGGUUUCCUCCCUGAUGGCUACACAUGUCAGGGAUAGGUUUCAGAACCGGUAGUUCCCGCCAAGUGUGAAUUGCUUUUCAGGGGAUCAUCACGCUGGCAGAUUAAACAUAUGGUUUAAAUUAUUUGCAGGACAGGAAUUGCGCAGCUUCACACAAAUACUACUACUACGACGUAAGAGUGGUUUAAAAUCUAUAUUUUUUGUGUUCCUGACAUUAUCACACAAGAUGUAGUAUCCACUAUGAUCCUUUAUGUGGGGGGUAUGUACAGUGCAAUCAACAGAUGCUAUUUACAAAUCUGUGUUUUCUACUGUGUUGAAAUGGGGUAGUUUGUAUCUGAGAGCCAUAGUGAAACACAGGCCCUCGAGAAACAUGGCAACACAUUGCAGGGACUCUGGAUGCUGCCUAAAUUUCCAGAACACACAGCUCAAGGCAGCGGUUAAAUAACAAGUGGUGAGAGAAAUCAAAGAUAGUUGCAUCCGUAAGCAGUCCGCUGUUGGAUUUGCUUCUGUCAGAGAUACGUUAUCUCGAAGGGAACGCACGGACACACUCAGAAUGAUACUAGGGCUGCCUGUGAAAUAGAAUGAGGAGAGGGGAAGAUAUAUAACCUUUUUCUUGUCUGUUAUUCUAUUGGUUAAAUUGUCAUUUUCUUAGCAGCAUAUGUGUGUAUAUUCCAGAGUCUGCUAAUAAAUAUAUCAGUUUAGAGCUA